rnacentral:tRNA from 1 species
GCCGGUGUAGCUCAGUUGGUAGAGCAACUGAUUCGUAAUCAGUAGGUCCCCAGUUCGAGUCUGGGCACCGGCACCA